AUUGAACGCUGGCGGCAGGCCUAACACAUGCAAGUCGAGCGGAUGAAGGGAGCUUGCUCCUGGAUUCAGCGGCGGACGGGUGAGUAAUGCCUAUGAAUCUGCCUGGUAGUGGGGGAUAACGUCCUGAAACGGGCGCUAAUACCGCAUACGUCCUGCGGGAGCAAGUGGGGGAUCUUCGGACCUCACGCUAUCAGAUGAGCCUAGGUCGGAUUAGCUAGUUGGUGGGGUAAAGGCCUACCAAGGCGACGAUCCGUAACUGGUCUGAGAGGAGGAUCAGUCACACUGGAACUGGGACACGGUCCAGACGCCUACGGGAGGGAGCAGUGGGGAAUAGUGGACAAUGGGCGAAAGCCUGAUCCAGCCCUGCCGCGUGUGUGAAGAAGGUCUUCGGAUUGUAAAGCACUUUAAGUUGGGGGGAAGGGCAGUAAGUUGAUACCUUGCUGUUUUGACGGUACCAACAGAAUAAGCACCGGCUAACUUCGUG
rnacentral:rRNA from 1 species